CGGAGCAUGUUGUAGUGGUAGCAUCUUUGGUUUGGGGCCAAAGCGCGAGAGUUCAAGUCCCUCUGCUCCGA
rnacentral:tRNA from 1 species